AGGACGAACGCUGGCGGCGUGCUUAACACAUGCAAGUCGAACGGAAAGGCCCGCUUGCGGGUACUCGAGUGGCGAACGGGUGAGUAACACGUGGGCAACCUGCCCUCAGCUCUGGGAUAACUCCGGGAAACCGGUAGCUAAUAACUGGAUAUCGACUUCUGCCUCGCAUGGGGUGUUGUUGAAGUUUUCGGCGUGGGAUGGGCCCGCGGCCUAUCAGCUUGUUGGUGGGGUGAUGGCCUACCAAGGCGACGACGGGUA
rnacentral:rRNA from 1 species